ACACCAUUCUCUACUUUUUUAUUCAUUUUUUCUAUCUUCUUCCUCACAUGUUUUCUUUAUUGAGUGGAAAUAUUUGAUUUCCAGAUGUAAUUUAAUCAAUCAGAACUAGUUCUGCAAUAAACAGUACAACUACUAAAUUACUUUUGGACUAGUGGAUUUUGAUGAGAAGUCACAAUAAUUUCAAACUUAUUGCGAGGUACUGUAAGUGGCUCUUGUGGCAUCCGGCCUCUGUUGGGCGCCGCAUGACGGCAAUUUCAUACAUGAGGACGUCACUUGGAUUCAUUCCUUUCUUUCACCGCGAGUGAAUAUCCCUGCGGCGCCAGUUAUACUACGCAGCGUAUAGUCCGCCGUAAUUACAUCAAUUAUGAACAAGUCACAACAAGUCGCCGCCAAGUCAAAAACAUG
rnacentral:sRNA from 2 species